UUUGAAUAAGGACUCAACUCUUUUGCCAGUUCACUUCACCUAUUUUGUGGACAGAGUCCUCUUUGCAUGCACAUUGCUAUGUUAAGAAAAGAACCAAGAUCUUUUUCCAACAUACACUCUGGGUUUUUACAAAGUGCAGGACAAGCCAUUUAAUCAGAAUGUGUUAUCUGACUGCUACUAUUAGACAUAAUUCUAAAUCAGAAGAUACUGUUAACAUGUACAUUUGAUGGCUAACAAAAUAAAUAGUAAUAUAAUAACUGCAGAAUAAAUAAUGCUGCAACUGAAAAUUGUACACACAAGGUAGGCUACUGCUCCUUUAAAAGCUAGAAUAGAUUUUGUACCCAAUGUUGCGAUUUUCACCAAAUAUAUUGUCUUCUCACACUAUUAAAAUAGCGUAUGAAGCUCUUAGCCUAGAUCACAUAUUACAAACAAAUACUAUGACCUAAAAACGAAUUUCUGUGCGUCCUUGACAAUCGCUAAUAAAAAAAAAAUUAUGCACAUUUGUACGUAAUCUGGAGCGGCAGGCAGCCUAGUGGUUAGAGCGUUGGACUAUUAACCGAAAGGUUGCAAAUUCAAAUCCCCCAGCUGACAAGAACCUGUCUGGUUCACCACCAGACCAACACCUGUUAACUCCUCUGGCUCUCUCUCUACCACCACAGAACCUGUCUGGAAAUGAGGGAUGAGCGCCUGUUCGGGUGUCUGAAGUACAUCUCUCUCGUCUGACUCAUUAAAGAGAAAUUCUUUGUCCAGUUCAAGGU